rnacentral:rRNA from 1 species
GGGUUGUGAGGUUAAGCGACUAAGCGUACACGGUGGAUGCCCUGGCAGUCAGAGGCGAUGAAGGACGUGCUAAUCUGCGAAAAGCGUCGGUAAGGUGAUAUGAACCGUUAUAACCGGCGAUGUCCGAAUGGGGAAACCCAGUGCAAUUCGUUGCACUAUCGUUAACUGAAUACAUAGGUUAACGAGGCGAAC